UCUGACAGUGAGGCCCAAAGGGAGGCACUUGCCUUGGUCAGGAUUGGAAAGUGCUUCUGUUUUGAGUGUUGUUGUUUGA
rnacentral:miRNA from 1 species